rnacentral:lncRNA from 1 species
UUGAGAGAGUCAAGGUGAUAACAAAUGAGAUAGGGGCGGAUGACAGUAGAGCCAUUCAGAUGGCUGGGUUCACAUUAAAAUGUAAGAAGGCCCGUGAAUGGUUCAAGAACUAUGUGAACCCUAGGGUGGACAGUAUGUCUUGGGAGGAGUUUGCCAACGAGUUUGCGGGAUGGGCUUUCCCUGAAAGCUCCAGAGAGCUGAAGAUGAUUGAAUUUGAACAGUUGAGGCAAACAGAUGAAAUGAGUGUAGAUGAAUAUACUGACAAGUUUAUGGAGUUGCUGCCAUUUGCUGGGCAGAACUU